rnacentral:rRNA from 1 species
UACGGAGGGUGCAAGCGUUAUCCGGAUUCACUGGGUUUAAAGGGUGCGUAGGAGGGCAGGUAAGUCAGUGGUGAAAUCUUCGAGCUUAACUCGGAAACUGCCGUUGAUACUAUCUGUCUUGAAUACCGUGGAGGUGAGCGGAAUAUGUCAUGUAGCGGUGAAAUGCUUAGAUAUGACAUAGAACACCAAUUGCGAAGGUAGCUCGCUACACGAAUAUUGACUCUGAGGCACGAAAGCGUGGGGAUCAAACAGG